GGAAAAUCAACCCUGAAGAAAUGAAUGUGAUAUGAGUUCCAGGAACUAACAAUAGCAACAAACGGAUUAUCCCGGCUGUCUUACACGGCAACCCAGGGCUCCAAGAGGGAGAAGUUGGAACCUGCCAUGCCUCCUGAAGAAUAUCACUUCCUCUGUAGUGUAUUGGUCAACAGCCCAGUCCAGAUUCAAGAGGAGAGGACAUAAGCAACACAGGAGCUGCAUGCACAUACCAGGGGGGAGGACUUAUUUGGAGCCAUCUUGGGACCAUAUGGAAGCAGAAUGGAUGCCAGCUCCUACAGGAUUCAAGCCCAGAGGAAAGAGACCUUCCCUCAACAGCCAAACAUCCUGGGCCUGACUCUCAUUUCCAUCCCUGAACCGAACCCCAUGUUCAGGGCAAUGUCCUACCCUGGCCAGGAAGAAUUCACAUGCCCUUUCCUGGAGCUGGAUUGUUGUCAGCCUCACUCAAAGCACAUAUGGAAAGAGUUGGGGGGGUCUCAGAGAAAAACUGGGGAUGCUGUUGCUGGAAGAAACAAGAACAGACGCAGAAAGGCAGAGAGAGGUAAAAGCCCAAGGUCGGCUCUCUGCCAAGCCUCCACCUGCACACACAGACCCCCAGCCAGCUGUGUCUCCCACCCCUUUGAGGUCCUGGUUUCACUCCUAGCGCAUGCAGUCAGGAGAAGGGGCCUCGAUGCCUGAGAAUGUGGGAGAUAGCAGGGGCUCUCCCACUUCAGAGCUUAGACACUCUCACUGAAGACUCGCCUUAGAGAAGUAAUGGGAAGGAGGAAAGGCAGCAAAUCCAUUUAUGUUUUAAGUAUAUGUUAUUUUUUCUAAGAUUAAACCACAUU